UCUUAGCACUUCCCGCUUCGCC
rnacentral:miRNA from 1 species